AUUUAAGUAGUUUAUAUAAAAUAUAAAGUUGUGGUCUUUCUGAAGUAAUUUACCUUAAAUC
rnacentral:tRNA from 1 species